AACCACUCUACCAUAAAUUGAUUUUCCUAAACUCUAUUGCCUCUAAAAUCUAUUUCAACUCACAAACCUAAGGGUCCUCACCAACAUAAGGGUGGUUUAUAAGCAGCCCUGGUGAUGAGCAAAGUAACUUUAUGAACAAUGAAGAAGGUUGAAGGCCAUCCAUGGCCCCCAUCCACAGGCUUUAGAAAAAGUGUUGCUGGUUAGUGUUGACACAUUCUCCUCACCAUCCUAAGGAUGGUUCAUAAGGUAAUG